GAUCAUGGCUCAGGACGAACGCUGGCGGCGCGCCUAACACAUGCAAGUCGAACGAGAGAUGAGGAGCUUGCUCUUCAAAUCGAGUGGCGAACGGGUGAGUAACGCGUGAGGAACCUGCCUCAAAGAGGGGGACAACAGUUGGAAACGACUGCUAAUACCGCAUAAGCCCACGGCUCGGCAUCGAGCAGGGGGAAAAGGAGCAAUCCGCCUUGAGAUGGCCUCGCGUCCGAUUAG
rnacentral:rRNA from 1 species